rnacentral:tRNA from 1 species
GCGGGUGUAGCUCAAUGGCAGAGCGAGAGCCUUCCAAGCUCAAGACGAGGGUUCGAUUCCCUUCACCCGCUCCA